AAAUAAUGCGAAAACUAAUGAUGUCGCAUGGAGAACUGUUACGUGUCCUAGUCAACCAUUACAAUCAGUACAAUGUGGAUUCUAUGUUAUGAGGAUGAUGAAAGAUUUUGUGACAAAUGAGUUUUCAAUGCGAUGGCUAACUAGUAACUGUGGCGGGAAGAACUCUUACACAAAGGAUGAUAUCAAUAAAGUACGUGAAGAAUGUGCACAAUGCAUCAUGGAUUUGAUGAGUACUACAUAGGUCCACUCACUUUUGUUAACUUAGACUUUUAAUGAGAUAUACUUACAAUGUUAUCCUAGACUUUCUUGAAGAUAUACACACUUUUGUUGUCUAACUAUAGUUUACAA